CUAGAAGCAGAAUAGUCAGAGUUUGCCUGCUUAAUGUCAGAGGCAAAGAGAAACUUCUAGCAAAUUCUCUAAGUGAAUGCUGAGUGCUUCUCGCAUACGUAUAAUUUACUGGGUGCAAGAAAGAAUUGAAAUAAGAUGGUGGCACAAACCAGCUCUAAAGAAUAUCGAAGGAACGGAGACACUCCAGGAUUUUCACACACAUAAGAUAACAAGAACAUAAAAUAAGAGGGACUAGGGAGGCCUGAGGAGAGGACAAAAGACAAGGAAUGGCCAGUCAGUGGAGCAGUAAGAACACACACAACAUUUAUCAG